AGGGCCCCAGUGCAGAAAAGGAUGUUGUAGAAUAAGCACAGGGCCAAAUGAAUGCAUGGCCAGUCUUCCCUUUGAGUACACUUUUCUGGAUUCCUCAAAGACCGAUGGCAGCACAGAACUCCUGGAUGGAACUGGAUGAAAAUCCUGGAUGGAAGAUCCAUGCUAAGGUCUUGGAGCAAGAAGCAAAUAGACCCCUCGGAAGUGUGGCAGGGAGGAGACAUGAACUGAGGUCUGCGGUGGAUACUGGAGCAUGAAGAUGGUUCAGAGGUUCCACAGGGAGCCUGCAGGGGGACCUGAGCAUGUUAAAUUGUGACAGGGAUGAAGCCCAGUGUGACGAGAUACUUGUGUAAUCAGUCCUUAAUUGUGAUAUGUCAACUUGAUCUGAAUAAGAACUGCCUAGCUGAUCAGUAAAUUCUGGAUGUGUGUAUGGACUGACACAGAGGCCAGCUGACUGAGGAAGGAAGAUCCGCCCUGGACGUGGAAGGAAGACCCGCCCUGGAUGUGGAAGGAAGACCCGCCCUGGGGUGGGUGGCACCAGCCAGUAGUUUGGGUGACUGGACAGAAUCAAAGCAAAAGAAGAAGGACGGAUUUCACACCUUCUUUGGAGGAGCUCCGGACUUCACUUUUGCCUUCAGCCAUGGGUCUCUGGUUCCUUUAGGAUUCCAGCACACUCUUCAGCCUUCCAACAGACUCUUCCCUUUGCUGACACAGACUCACACGGGGAACUCGGCAGUGAGCCUCCAGGCCUUUGACCCUCAACUGCUCUUGGAUCCUCUGGCUCUCCAGAAUUUUGGAUUCCGGCUAUUUUGGAUUCUUCAUCUGUAACUCAUCGGAAGACCACUGGGACUCUUCUGCUUCUGAUCUUACAAACCAGCCUAAUAAAUCCCUUGCUGUGCAUCCAUCUCUGUAUAUAAAUGUGUUCC
rnacentral:lncRNA from 1 species